rnacentral:rRNA from 1 species
AUUGAACGCUGGCGGCAUGCCUUACACAUGCAAGUCGAACGGCAGCACGGGUGCUUGCACCUGGUGGCGAGUGGCGAACGGGUGAGUAAUAUAUCGGAACGUACCUUAUCGUGGGGGAUAACGCAGCGAAAGCUGCGCUAAUACCGCAUACGCCCUGAGGGGGAAAGCGGGGGACCGUAAGGCCUCGCGCGAUUAGAGCGGCCGAUAUCUGAUUAGCUUGUUGGUGGGUAAAAGCCACCAAGGCGACGAUCAGUAGCUGGUCUGAGAGGACGAUCAGCCACACUGGGACUGAGACACGGCCCAGACUCCUACGGGAGGCAGCAGUGGGGAAUUUUGGACAAAUGGGGGGCAACCCUGAUCCAGCAAUGCCGCGUGAGUGAAGAAGGCCUCGGUUGUAAGACUCUUUGUCUAGGAAGGAAAACAAGGACAGACUCUAAC